UACGUAGGGCGCAAGCGUUGUCCGGAAUUAUUGGGCGUAAAGAGCUCGUAGGCGGCUUGUCGCGUCGGCUGUGAAGACCUGGGGCUCAACCCCGGGCCUGCAGCCGAUACGGGCAAGCUAGAAUUCGGUAGGGGAGACUGGAAUUCCUGGUGUAGCGGUGAAAUGCGUAGAGAUCGGGAGGAACACCAGUGGCGAAGGCGGCUACCUGGACCAGCACUGACACUGAGGCACGAAAGCGUGGGGGAGCAAAACAGGG
rnacentral:rRNA from 1 species